UUGCUCAGUGGAGGCGACCGCGGUCACCAGGAAGGGGACCGGACAGCCGGCGAUGGUGGUCACCACAGCGGCAUGUGCGCCUUUCAGGUAUCUGCCUGAACUGGAACUCAUGCUGUAGACAUUUCUUUGUGGAUUCAUCUAAAAAUCUGAGGAAAAGAGUAUUUG